GCCCGUUUAGCUCAGUGGUAGAGCGCGCCACUCGUAUCAGCUUUGCAAUAAAGCACUUAUAAUGGUGAGGUCAAUCGUUCAAUCCGGUUAGUGGGCA